CCUACGGGCGGCAGCAGUGAGGCAUAUUGGUCAAUGGACGAGAGUCUGAACCAGCCAAGUAGCGUGAAGGAUGACUGCCCUAUGGGUUGUAAACUUCUUUUAUAUGGGAAUAAAACGAUCCACGUUUGGGAUUUUGUAUGUACUAUAUGAAUAAGGACCGGCUAACUCCGUGCCAGCAGCCGCGGUAAUACGGAGGAUCCGCGCGUUAUCCGGAUUUAUUGGGGUUAAAGGGAGCGUAGGUGGAUUGUUAAGUCAGUUGUGAAAGUUUGCGGCUCAACCGUAAAAUUGCAGUUGAAACUGGCAGUCUUGAGUACAGUAGAGGUGGGCGGAAUUCGUGGUGUAGCGGUGAAAUGCUUAGAUAUCACGAAGAACUCCGAUUGCGAAGGCAGUUCACUGGACUGCAACUGACACUGAGGCUCGAAAGUGUGGGUAUCAAACAGGAUUAGAUACCCGUGUAGUC
rnacentral:rRNA from 1 species